rnacentral:rRNA from 1 species
UACGUAGGGGGCGAGCGUUGUCCGGAGUUACUGGGCGUAAAGGGCGUGCAGGCGGUGCAGUAAGUUUAGAGUGACAGUUCCCGGCUCAACUGGGGAAGGCCUCUGAAAACUGCUGGACUUGAGGGCCAGAGAGGGACAUAGAAUUCCGGGUGGAGUGGUGAAAUGCGUAGAUAUCCGGAGGAAUACCAAAGGCGAAGGCAGUGUCCUGGCUGGCAUCUGACGCCGAGGCGCGAAAGCUAGGGGAGCGAACAGG